GAAUUUUGGACAAUGGGCGAAAGCCUGAUCCAGCAAUGCCGCGUGCAGGAUGAAGGCCUUCGGGGUGUAAACUGCUUUUGUACGGAACGAAAAGCUUUGGGUUAAUACCCUGGCGUCGUGAUGGUACCGACAGAAUAAGCACCGGCUAACUCCGUGCCAGCAGCCGCGGUAAUACGUAGGGUGCAAGCGUUAAUCGGAAUUACUGGGCGUAAAGCGUGCGCAGGCGGUUUUGUAAGACAGAGGUGAAAUCCCCGGGCUCAACCGGGGAACUGCCUUUGUGACUGCAAGGCUGGAGUACGGCAGAGGGGGGUGGAAUUCCGCGUGUAGAAGUGAAAUGCGUAGAUAUGCGGAGGAACACCGAUGGCAAAGGCAACCCCCUGGGCCUGUACUGACGCUCAUGCACGAAAGCGUGGGGAGCAAA
rnacentral:rRNA from 1 species